rnacentral:rRNA from 1 species
UUUUACAAUGGAGAGUUUGAUCCUGGCUCAGGAUGAACGCUAGCUACAGGCUUAACACAUGCAAGUCGAGGGGAAACGACAUCGAAAGCUUGCUUUUGAU